rnacentral:rRNA from 1 species
UGAGGAAUAUUGGACAAUGGGCGCAACUCUGAACCAGCCAUGCCGCGUGCAGGAAGACGGCCCUCUGGGUUGUAAACUGCUUUUAUUCGGGAAUAAACCUAUCUACGUGUAGAUAGCUGAGUGUACCGAAGGAAUAAGGAUCGGCUAACUCCGUGCCAGCAGCCGCGGUAAUACGGAGGAUCCAAGCGUUAUCCGGAAUCAUUGGGUUUAAAGGGUCCGUAGGCGGUUUAGUAAGUCAGUGGUGAAAGCCCAUCGCUCAACGAUGGAACGGCCAUUGAUACUGCUAGACUUGAAUUAUUAGGAAGUAACUAGAAUAUGUAGUGUAGCGGUGAAAUGCUUAGAUAUUACAUGGAAUACCAAUUGCGAAGGCAGCUUACUAUGGUUUUAUUGACGCUGAGGCACGAAAGCGUGGGGAUCAAACA